rnacentral:rRNA from 1 species
UACGUAGGGGGCAAGCGUUGUCCGGAAUCAUUGGGCGUAAAGAGCGCGUAGGCGGCCCUGUAAGUCCGCUGUGAAAGUCAAGGGCUCAACCCUUGGAUGCCGGUGGAUACUGCAGGGCUAGAGUCCGGAAGAGGCGAGUGGAAUUCCUGGUGUAGCGGUGGAAUGCGCAGAUAUCAGGAGGAACACCUAUAGCGAAGGCAGCUCGCUGGUACGAACACUGACGCUAAGGCGCGAAAGCGUGGGGAGCGAUCCGGAUUAAGAA